UGGGACACUUCACUAAAGUCUCAAUCCAGUGGGACUCUUCAGCUAUAUGAUCAGAUCAAAAUUUUUAAUGUGUGUGAUCUCAUAGGUUCGAACCUAAGCCGGUAGCAUAGGAAUAAAUUUUUAUACUAAUCGAUGUAACCAUCUAGCAAUGGGAUCCAACGUUCGGAUAGACUGAAAGAUUGCAAAGCAAUAUUUUAGAAUCUACUAGUGUAUGGUUACUAUAUAACUCAUCCCUUUGAUCCUAAUGCUCAAAAUGAUCUAGGGUUUAACUGUCAACUCUAAAAUAGUCAACCACAUUAUAUUUCAAUAUUUUAAUCCAUCAU
rnacentral:lncRNA from 1 species